rnacentral:rRNA from 1 species
GGCGGUUUGUUAAGUCAGAUGUGAAAUCCCCGCGCUUAACGUGGGAACUGCAUUUGAAACUGGCAAGCUAGAGUCUUGUAGAGGGGGGUAGAAUUCCAGGUGUAGCGGUGAAAUGCGUAGAGAUCUGGAGGAAUACCGGUGGCGAAGGCGGCCCCCUGGACAAAGACUGACGCUCAGGUGCGAAAGCGUGGGGAGCAAACAGGAUUAGAUACCCUGGUAGUCCACGCUGUAAACGAUGUCGACUUGGAGGUUGUGCCCUUGAAGACUUAACAAACCGCCUGCG